rnacentral:rRNA from 1 species
CCUACGGGAGACAGCAGUGGGGGAUAUUGCACAAUGGGGGAAACCCUGAUGCAGCGACGCCGCGUGGGUGAAGAAGCGCCUCGGCGCGUAAAGCCCUGUCAGCAGGGAAGAAAAUGACGGUACCUGAAGAAGAAGCCCCGGCUAACUACGUGCCAGCAGCCGCGGUAAUACGUAGGGGGCAAGCGUUAUCCGGAUUUACUGGGUGUAAAGGGGGCGCAGACGGCGAUGCAAGCCAGGAGUGAAAGCCCGGGGCCCAACCCCGGAACUGCUCUUGGAACUGCGUGGCUAGAGUGCAGGAGGGGCAGGCGGAAUUCCUGGUGUAGCGGUGAAAUGCGUAGAUAUCAGGAGGAACACCGGUGGCGAAGGCGGCCUGCUGGACUGCAACUGACGUUGAGGCCCGAAAGCGUGGGGAGCAAACAGGAUUAGAUACCCCAGUAGU